rnacentral:rRNA from 1 species
AGCGGACGCUGGCGGCAGGCCUAACACAUGCAAGUCGAGCGCCCCGCAAGGGGAGCGGCAGACGGGAGAGUAACACGUGGGAACGUACCCUUCAGUUCGGAACAACCAAGGGAAACUUUGGCUAAUACCGAAUACGUCCGUAAGGAGAGAGAUUUAUCGCUGAAGGAUCGGCCCGCGUCUGAUUAGCUAGUUGGUGGGGUAACGGCCCACCAAGGCGACGAUCAGUAGCUGGUCUGAGAGGAUGAUCAGCCUCACUGGGACUGAGACACGGCCCAGACUCCUGCGGGAGGCAGCAGUGGGGAAUAUUGGACAAUGGGCGCAAGCCUGAUCCAGCCAUGCCGCGUGGAUGAUGAAGGCCCUAGGGUUGUAAAGUCCUUUCGGCGGGGAAGAUAAUGACGGUACCCGCAGAAGAAGCCCCGGCUAACUUCGUGUCAGCCGCCGCAGUAAGAC